rnacentral:rRNA from 1 species
AUUUAUGGCCAUGCCAUCCUGAACAAGCCCAAUCCCGUCUGAUCUCGUAAGCUAAGCAGGGUCAGGCCUGGUUAGUACUUGGAUGGGAGACCACCUAGGAAGACUGGAUGCUGUAGGCA